ensembl:lncRNA
GUGGAAGUGAGUCAGAGAAGGAUGUGAAGAUGAUAAACUGAAUUUGAAGAUUGCCUCCCUCUUCCGUUGACCCCGGAAUGCCUAUGGCCUUUAGAGACUGAAAACGGGAAGGAAACAUGCUCCUUGGACCUUCAGGAAGACGGCAGACAUGGGACACCUUGAUUUUAGCCUAUUUCAGACUUCUGCUCCCCAGAACUGUAAGAUCAUGAUCCUGAGACAAAAAGGAGGAAAAGGAAAAGGAUAAUCCAGAUAAUUAGUCAUCAAAUGAGCUUGAAUUCACUGGGCAGCUGCUAAUAUCCACACUAUGAACAAGUAUCUCCUGCAGUCGCUCUUACGUGAUUUUUCACUGGUUUAACUGAACAUGGGAAAUAGAUGGGGAAACAGUGGAAACAGUGUCAGACUUUAUUUUUUGGGGCUCCAAAAUCACUGCAGAUGGUGACUGCAGCCAUGAAAUUAAAAGAUGCUUACUCCUUGGAAGAAAAGUUAUGAACCUAGAUAGCAAAUUCAAAAGCAGAGACAUUAUUUUGCCGACUAAGGUCCGUCUAGUCAAGGCUAUGGUUUUUCCAGUGCUCAUGUAUGGAUGUGAGAGUUUGACUGUGAAGAAGGCUGAGCACCAAAGAAUUGAUGCUUUUGAACUGUGGUGUUGAAG